CCUACGGGUGGCAGCAGUGGGGAAUAUUGCACAAUGGGGGAAACCCUGAUGCAGCGACGCCGCGUGAGUGAAGAAGUCUUUCGGUAUGUACAGCUCUCUCAGCCGGGAAGAAAAUGCCGUUACCUUAUUAAGAUUCCCCGGCUAACUACGUUCCAGCAGCCGCGGUAAGACGUAGGGGGCGCGCGUUAUCCGGAGUUACUGGGUAUAAGGGGAGCGUAGACGGCAGCACAAGUCUGUAGUGAAAUGCCGUGGCUAAACCCCGCAGCUGCUUUGGAAACGGUGAAGCUAGAGUGCAGGAGAGGUAAGUGGAAUUCCUGGGGAAGCGGUGAAAUGCGUAGAUAUUAGGAGGAAAACCAGUGGCGAAGGCGGCUUACGGGACUGUAACUGACGUGGAGGCUCGAAAGCGUGGGGAGCAAAAGGGAUUAGAAACCCCAGUAGUC
rnacentral:rRNA from 1 species